GACGAACGCUGGCGGCGUGCUUAACACAUGCAAGUCGAACGGAAAGGCCCUGCUUUUGUGGGGUGCUCGAGUGGCGAACGGGUGAGUAACACGUGAGUAACCUGCCCUUGACUUUGGGAUAACUUGGAAACUGGGGCUAAUACCGGAUAGGAGCUCCUGCUGCAUGGUGGGGGUUGGAAAGUUUCGGCGGUUGGGGAUGGACUCGCGGCUUAUCAGCUUGUUGGUGGGGUAGUGGCUUACCAAGGCUUUGACGGGUAGCCGGCCUGAGAGGGUGACCGGCCACAUUGGGACUGAGAUACGGCCCAGACUCCUACGGGAGGCAGCAGUGGGGAAUAUUGCACAAUGGGCGGAAGCCUGAUGCAGCAACGCCGCGUGCGGGAUGACGGCCUUCGGGUUGUAAACCGCUUUCGCCUGUGACGAAGCGUGAGUGACGGUAAUGGGUAAAGAAGCACCGGCUAACUACGUG
rnacentral:rRNA from 1 species